AUUGAACGCUGGCGGCAUGCCUUACACAUGCAAGUCGAACGGUAACAGGUUAAGCUGACGAGUGGCGAACGGGUGAGUAAUGUAUCGGAACGUGCCCGGUCGUGGGGGAUAACGUAGCGAAAGCUACGCUAAUACCGCAUACGAUCUACGGAUGAAAGCGGGGGAUCGCAAGACCUCGCGCGAUUGGAGCGGCCGAUAUCAGAUUAGGUUGUUGGUGAGGUAAAAGCUCACCAAGCCUGCGAUCUGUAGCUGGUCUGAGAGGACGACUAGCCACACUGGAACUGAGACACGGUCCAGACUCCUACGGGAGGCAGCAGUGGGGAAUUUUGGACAAUGGACGCAAGUCUGAUCCAGCAAUGCCGCGUGCAGGACGAAGGCCUUCGGGUUGUAAACUGCUUUUGUACGGAACGAAACGGUGAGCUCUAAUACAGUUUGCUAAUGACGGUACCGUAAGAAUAAGCACCGGCUAACUACGUGCCAGCAGCCGCGGUAA
rnacentral:rRNA from 1 species